GGCCGGGCGCCUCCUCCCUCCGUGGGCGGGCCAGAGGCGUGAUCCAGGAAGGAGCGGGAACCUGGGCUGCCUGGCCGGCCUAGACACGCCCUUGCCGGCCUCAAAAGGAGCCCGGAAACUGAGCACCCCCUAGUCAACUCCAGCGAUUCCCAGGAAAUAGGCCGGCGUGUUCUGAAAAGGGUGUGUCUCCUAGGGUCCAAGGGAAAGGGCUGCAACCUCGGACAGAAAGAAAGAAAAAACUUUGGAACUCAAUGCAGCUUCCAUCCUCACAACCCCAGGACCUACUCACAGGCUUCACUAAGACCACAUUGAAGAGGGACUUUGCAUCCAGAAACGUUCUAAAUCCCCCCUUGGGCCAUUCGCCAGCCGUCCUUGACACCUGCUGCCUCCUGAAGCCGGUUGGGGCUGGGGACCUUCUGUUGCAGGACCGACACGGGCCUGCGGGCGCCUGCAGGCCUGACUCUAGCCAGCCCCGGGCACUGGAGUGACCUGGUCCGCGACCUUCCCCAGCGGGAGCCGGCGCGCCCAGGGCGCUGAGCUCCGAUUAGCACCGAGGACCUGCUUCCCGAAGCUGGACCCGGCCACGAACAUCCGCGUCUCUACCGUCGUCCCGCCCAGCUCCCCGUCAAGCCCGGGAACCCUCGCGGCGGGAAGAUCGGUGGUCAGCGGUCCAGGCGCGACCCAGGCCCCGGCCCCGCCCCGUUCCCUGCUCCCGCGGCCGGGGCCCGGCAUGCCCCGCGGUGAGCCGCGCAACCCCCGCCUCCCUGUUGUACGGCCUCAGCCGUGGGAAUGCUGGAUGCUGCGCAGACGGUGCGAAUUCCUGGUGAAAAACAGCUGCCCUCAGCGUUUUCAUAGCACCAAGAACUUGUAAGCUACCUGAACUCCGACUGUAUUGAUGAACACAAAGGGACCAGUGUGACCUGAGUGGUUGAUAAGCACAAAAGCAGGUUAUAAAACAGUAUAUUCCAUACAGUCCCAUCUUUGAGUGUAUGAGUGGAAAGAGGCCAACCUAUGUGAAGUGGGACCAGGUAUGAUUUUUGUAUUACUGAUUGUAUUUGCUAAAUGUUCUACUAUGUUUUGAUUGGUUUUUAAACCAGGAUUUAAAAUAUACACGCAGGUUUUCAAACUCACCAAGUUCAAAAAAGUGUUGCUCUUAGUUCCAGACCCUUUCUCUGCAGGCAAGGACUUUUAUGUUCAGAACCACUGUUGCUAAGCAAAAACAAAAAGACACUUGCAUUUUGAUUUACAAAUGAAUAAAGGAUUUGUUUCUGGGUUUGUAGCUCCCGUUUAGAGGAAAGGAGAUU